GGGGGUGCUGUCAUACUCCGUGGUCUAGGUGCGGGCCUGUUUUCCUUGCUCUUUCUUCUCUGCAGGGUUGGGCGGGCAAGUGUGAUUCAUCAGAGCUAAUUGCCACCCUUUAUAAGGAGCUGGAACCAGGAGGAGGGCGUCAGUUCGUUUGCGCUCUUGCGUGAAACCCGUUCAUCUGACCUCAGCCUGGAAACCUCGUCACAUUAUCAGAAGCCAACCUGGAUCAGUCCUCAAGAACCGAGCUGAACCUACAGAACCCUGUUUACCCUCCUGCCUGCGCUCACCUGCCUGUCCACCCUCCAGCCAGUUACAACACCGAGAAGGAACCAGGACUUGCACCGACAACCCGGACGUAUGCUCAGUACCUCUCCUCUGCACUAAACCCAAGCUGCCGCCUAAGUGAAUUCCCGACCAAGUCUCAUCUUCACAAUAACCAAGCUCAAGUUGUUCACCACCUUCUCCAUCUUUCUGGAAAAACCCAUGAGACCUUCAAACCACAGAAAGAACCAUCCAUUUCCAACCAUACAAUAAACCUUUUUAAAAUCUA